UGGUGGAGUGAUUUGUCUGGUUUAUUCCGUUAACGAACGAGACCUCGACCUGCUAAAUAGUCCGGUUCACUCCUCGUGGGUGGAUACGUGGCUUCUUAGAGGGACUAUCGGUGGUUAGCCGGUGGAAGUUCGAGGCAAUAACA
rnacentral:rRNA from 1 species